UGUUUUACUCAUAAUAGGAAAGAGUACAUAUCAAAGAUUUACAAAUACAUAGAUUACUUGGUUAAAAACAAAGUCUCCCAUUACAAAAACAAAAAAGGGGCGAAAUAUACCAUAGGGACAUUAAAACUCAUGUGUCGAAAAUAAAUAUUCAUGGCCAUGGCUAAAAAAGAAAAAGACCAAUAGACAAACAACAUAGAAAACUAAAGACUGAGCAAAACGAACCACAUUUAAAACUGGGGAUAAUCUCAGGUGCUCCAGAAGGAUAAGCAGCAAAUCCUGCUCCACGUGUAUCACCCGUUGUGUUGCUCAUAUUAUUAUGAAUUCGGUAAUAAGUUUAAUUCGGUAGGUCACAUUCGUGUAGAUGGUACGGAUUGUAGUAACGAAAAAAGGAACAUAUUUGUUAUCAUUUUUGAAACUGAUAUUCAAUUACGGUCAACUCACUGGCGAUGGCGUCCAUAAAACUUGACCUGAAAUUCAACACUGGGAACCGUUGCCUCAAUAGUUUCAUUUUGAGCAAUAUAGGGGUUUCGUGACGUCACGUCUACUGAUGUUGACGUCAUAUAUUUUGUUGUGUUUUACUGGUUUUUUUUAACAAAACGCAGCAGAAAAGGUACAGCGAGCGAUAAAUUCGUUAUACGGUAAACAACUCUGGCCUCAUUUCCUAUGGAUUUUAUUAAUCCUCUAUGGAUCCGUAGGGGGUCAGUAGCGGAUCAUAUGAUAAAGUUUCACAAUUGGGAAGCUAUAACCAUCUCUUUUGUCGUAAAUUUUUGUUUUCACCUAACCCUCAUUGUCAAUUUCUAAAUAUAAUAUAAGUCAAGAUAUGAGGUAAACUUAACUGUAUCUAUUGUAUUCUUUAUCUUAGGUUCGAAGGGAUAGAUGUAUUCAACGUAAUCAGACAAGGAUUUUCAUAUUUAGUUAUCAAAGAGAUACUUUAAGUGAAUUCAAUACUGAUGUUGUUACACAUAUUUAACCUUUACAUCAAUGCAAAAGGUUAAACUAUACAAGUCCGUGAAAGCAAAUGUAACACGCCACAGGUCUGUGACAGGCAAAUAUAUCCCUUACACAAACAUGUGACAAGUUUGUUUACACUGAUCCAAGUGUAAAUACCAAACUUUGAAUUUUUCGAAAAACAAUGGAUUUUCUAAUCCCAGGAACAGAUUACCUUAGCCGUAUUUGGCACAACUUUUUGGAAUUUUUGGACCUCAAUGCUCUUCAACUCUCUUCUUGUUUGGCUUUAUAACUUUUUUAAUCUGAGCGUCACUGAUGAGUCUUAUGUAAACGAUACGCGCGUCUGACGUAAUAAAUUAUAAUCCUGGUACCUUGAUAACUAUUGUAGAUCAGAUCUGAUUUAGAGAUUAUCAUACAAGCUGUACAUGCUAAUCGAAAUAAAUCUAUUUGUACAUUAGAUUUUAAGGGUGAAAAUCCAUAUGUCAUUGUAUCUCUGAAAACUUUUGAGCAACUGGAAUUUUCAAAUCAAUAGUAAAAGAUACCCAAGAAGCAAUACUAAUCAGAAAUAAAAUUAAUACGAACGUCCUGUGACAUAACACUAUGCUAUAAACUAAAAAAAAGGCCACACGAAUCCUAUUAAACAGAGAUGAAUUUAUGUGUUCAGGAAAGGAGACAUUUCCGACUCAGCCCGAUACACCAUGUACACACACUGAUGCUUAUUCGCGUUACAGUUCUUUACCAAAAGAUUUAAAAAGAGAAUGGAAUAGUGGCUAUGAUAAAUAGAUCUGAUACUUGGUCAUAAGUGAAACAUAUUAUCUGUAACGUGUCUAUAACGGUCAACCAAGUAAUGAUACAUGUAUUAUGUCUGUUUAUCAGUUAUUUCUUUUGUGAAAGCUUCUUCUAUCAGACACAACAUUAGUCAAUGAGUGUUCAUGUUUGGUACAUUUGAUAUCGUUCAUGCUAACAAAUAAGCAUCUUAAGGUAACAUUGUUCCACAUCUGCUUUAUCUCCAUUGAAUGAUUUUAAACAACAAAAAACAUUCAUUUUUAAGACUUAUUUUUUCAACAUGUAGGAUGUAUUUUGUAAUGGGGUUCAUGUUGGUUGUUUUAGCAGAAUAAUGUUGAACCAAGGUUAUGUCAAAGAACGUCUUGUCCUUUUUUAAAAAGCUCCUCGGAAAAUACCAAGACCUUGGUGAUAAGUUUUCCGUAUCAACUUAACAAAUAAUGCAUGAUGAACUUGAAGUAUAGAUUUUAGGUACUGACGUUGUUCAUCAUCUUGAUUACAUGUCAUAGUAUUCUUGUACUUGCCCGUUUUGAUUUGUACCAUUUCCUGUUUAGUCUAUUUUUGAUAAUAUCCUGUUUGCGUGGUUCAUUGCUUAAUAUUCAUUUCGCCAUUGUGUAAUUGUUUUGUGGUCAUUUAUGGUAGCCCUUUUUCGUAUUUGCUAAUGUGUUUUGUUCAUAUGCCAUUUUUUUCUUAAUUCACAUAUUUGUUUGUUUUUACAGUGAUUAAAAUAUUAUAACACGAUGCUGAAUUUUGAACCCCUAAUUUUGAUAUUUUCACCUUUUAUGUCUGUUAUUUUCAUACAUUGUAGUCAAUAUAUUUUUGCACUGUCUGUAGUGUCAAACUUAUUUUCUUUUAGGCACUGGAAACUUCAGUUUGUUGAUUUCAACGAUAUUUGUGAAACGCAAUCUUUAGUGUAUCAUAUAUUAUAUAUAUAUUGUUUAUUGUUUAUUGUAUGGUUUUUCCUGAGAUAAAAUUUGUUCCACUUAGUGAAACGUAAAAGCGCGUAAAACAAAAUCUAUUUUAAAAAUAAUUUGUAAUAUUUAAUCGGGACAUUUAGUGGUUAAGUUGAAAUAUGAAAAUAUCAGAAAUAUUAAGUAACUUGACAUUUAAAAAUACAAGCAGUACAAAAAAGUCAGUUAAUUAUAUAUAUAAAUGUCAUUCGUUAUCACCAAUAAUUGUGUCUAUAGAUAUGUAAUUACAUGUAUAUUUGAUAUUCAUAACUCGUACUAAAUGUUUUAUUUCUUUUGAUAUCAUCAAAUUUGGAAAAACCUGUGUUAUUCAAUUCAAGGAAUAUGAAACUGCUACAUUUGUUAGUUAUAACGAUCACAACAUAUGCAAUACAUGCUGAACCAGUCAUUGAAUAUUGCUGGACAAAGUUUAACGGAGAAUAUAAAUAUAUCCAGUUUGGAAGAGAGAUGUGGUUCGAUCCAUGUUAUUUUUGUUGGUGCUAUGAAGGUGGGGAUCCAAAGGACCGUCCAACAAGAGCUGGGUGCAAUACGGUAGAUUGUCCAUACAUAAAAUGUCCUAAUGGAACACAAUUACAACCCGUCAAGAACAAAUGUUGCCUCGAGUGCAUGGCUAUUUAGUGUCAAAUUAAAUAGUUUUACAAGUUUGAUUGUUUGAAUAAAUAUGUAAGUUGU